UACAGAGGUCUCAAGCGUUGUUCGGAUUCAUUGGGCGUAAAGGGUGCGUAGGCGGCGCGGUGAGUCGGGUGUGAAAUCUCGGAGCUUAACUCCGAAACUGCAUUCGAUACUGCCGUGCUUGAGGACUGGAGAGGAGACUGGAAUUUACGGUGUAGCGGUGAAAUGCGUAGAUAUCGUAAGGAAGACCAGUGGCGAAGGCGGGUCUCUGGACAGUUCCUGACGCUGAGGCACGAAGGUCAGGGGAACAAACGGG
rnacentral:rRNA from 1 species